rnacentral:rRNA from 1 species
GACAGAGGGUGCAAGCGUUGUUCGGAUUUACUGGGCGUAAAGUGCGUGUAGGCGGCUUUGCAAGUCGGAUGUGAAAUCCCACGGCUCAACCGUGGAAGUGCAUCCGAAACUGCAUCGCUGGAGUCUCGGAGAGGAAGGUGGAAUGCUUGGUGUAGAGGUGAAAUUCGUAGAUAUCAAGCAGAACACCUGCGGCGAAGGCGGCCUUCUGGACGAUGACUGACGCUGAGACGCGAAAGCGUGGGGAGCAAACAGG